GUGAGUGUAGCUCAAUGGUAAAGCAACUGCUUUGUAUGCAGAAAAUUGUAGGUUUAAUCCCAGGCAUUUUUA